rnacentral:rRNA from 1 species
GACGAACGCUGGCGGCGUGCCUAAUACAUGCAAGUAGAACGCUGAAGGAGGAGCUUGCUCUUCUGGAUGAGUUGCGAACGGGUGAGUAACGCGUAUGUAACCUGCCUGGUAGCGGGGUAUAACUAUUGGAAACGAUAGCUAAUACCGCAUAACAGUAGAUGUUGCAUUACAUUUUCUUAGAAUGUGCAAUUUCAUCACUACCAGAUGGACCUUCGUUGUAUUAGCUAGUUGGUGGGGUAAUGGCUCAUCAAGGCGACGAUACAUAGCCGACCUGAGAGGGGGGUCGGCCACACGAGGACUGGAACGCGGACCAGACUCCUGCGGGAGGCCGCAGUAGGGAAUCUUCGGCAAUGGACGGAAGUCUGACCGAGCAACGCCGCGUGAGUGAAGAAGGUUUUCGGAUCGUAAAGAUCGGUUGUAAGAGAAGAACGAGUGUGGGAGUGGAAAGUUCACACUGUGACGGUAGCUGACCAGAAAGGAACGGCUAACUACGUG